UCCAGUCUUUUUAUAACCGACCAAAAAGUGUAUGACCUUAAAUAUCGGAAUUUAAUUCGACGAGGAAACAUCCUGAGAGCUAUCGCUAUACAAAAGUCAACACCUGAAGCAACAUUUGACAUAGGCAGGUAUGUAACUCUAUCCCCUGCACCAAAUAAUGGGAUCGCUGUGACUUUAAGGCUCUCAAACACACACCUGUAUGUGACUGCAAUGAAGGAAAAUGAACCUAUACAGCUACAGGAGAUUCCAAAGACACCGACCGAGCUUGAUGGUUCUCAGAGUCCCAUCCUCUUCUACUGGACGGAGCACUACUCUUACGGCGGCACCUUUGCCUCUGUUGCCAAUCCAGAACUGCUUCUGGCUACCCAAAACAAGGACGGUGAGCCAGUGAUCAUGGCAAAAGGGCUUCCUGCUCUUGUUCACUUCCUAGUGACUGAGGAGUGAAAGCACACACUGUCAGGAAGGAAAGGACCUCUGCAGCUCUCUUGUCAUUAGAUCGUGUCUUUAAGAGCUGAGAGGGAACCUCAAAGGGCUUCUUGUCUGACUGCUCCAUUUUGCAGGUGGGGAAACUGCUUACCCAAGGUUAGUCAGAAAGUAAGUGUCAGAGGCAAGAUUUGAACCCACACCCUAACUACAGGGCCACCAUACUUUCUGCUGAAUCACACUACUGUAGUCUAGCUGUAUGAUGAUGACAUGUACUGUGUACUCGAUGAAACCAAAUCCUUUACUCUCAGUCAUGUGCCAUGCAGAUGGCUUUAGGGUGAGCCCUUGUCAUUCUGAAUGAAUGUUUGUGAACAAGUUAUGAGAGUCCGGUGGACCCAGCACUAACUCAC
rnacentral:lncRNA from 1 species